GUCCAUCCUUCAUUUUGUGUAGUGUCAACAUUUGCUCUAUUAUCAAUCAGUAAUUUCACAACCUCAAGAUGACCAUUUUGGGAUGCAAAAUGGAGAGGUGUCCAUCCUUCAUUUUGCGUAGUGUCAACAUUUGCUCUAUUAUCAAUCAGUAAUUUCACAACCUCAAGAUGACCAUUUUGGGAUGCAAAAUGGAGAGGUGUCCAUCCUUCAUUUUGCGUAGUGUCAACAUUUGCUCUAUUAUCAAUCAGUAAUUUCACAACCUCAAGAUGACCAUUUUGGGAUGCAAAAUGGAGAGGUGUCCAUCCUUCAUUGUUCGU